UCUCCGUCUCUCUCUCUCCAUCUCUCUUUCUCUCUCUCUCUCCUUCCCUCUCUCCCCGUGUCUCUGUCUCACGCGCGCGUGGUGGAUUUAUACCGGGAAGCGGCUCGGUUCUGGAGGAGGAUUUUAGUUCGGUUCCGGUUUUUGUUUGUGUACGGUUGGAAAUAAGCCUUUAACGGAGCCUGUUGUGGAUUAACGUGACUGGCUCCUGUUCCGGAGCGGCUGUGCACGCGCGCAGAUAGAUUUAUAAGCAGACGAGUUUCUCUCUCAGGACUGGAAACCACACUGGACUUCUUCUUUUUUGUCGUCUUCUUCCCUUCCCUUUUGGAUUUUGGACUUUUUCUCCCGCUCUGAUUGGCUCUCCUGCAUCACCCGCGUGUGAUUGGACGGUGUCCGGGAGUCAAGGACCUCUGAGGGGGUCCACCCCCGCCUCCGACUUCCUGUUUACUUCCUGAAACACAGUGAGCACUUCCUGUUCCUCCACGACUGUGACCUGUCUGGCCAGAGGCUUCAGCUGUCUCUCUGCACAGAUUUAAAGACUUCACCGCCCACUAUGACCUGCUGACAUCACCAGACCCCCACCCUCCUCCUCCCCC